rnacentral:rRNA from 1 species
GACGUGUGCUCUUCCGAUCUGCGACCGCUUUUGGAGUUCGAUUAAGCCAUGCGAGUCGAGAGCCUUAGGGGCUCGGCAUACUGCUCAGUAACACGUGGAUAACCUGCCCUAUUGUCUGGAAUAACCUCGGGAAACUGAGAACAAGGCCGGAUAACCCACAAUGCCUGGAACGGUUUGUGGGUGAAGAUAGGAUGGGUCUGCGGCGUAUCAGGUCGUAGGGGGUGUAAUGGACCUCCUAGCCAUCGACGCGUACGGGUUGUGGGAGCAAUAGCCCGGAGAUGGAUUCUGAGACACGAAUCCAGACCCUACGGGGUGCAGCAGGCGCGAAAACUUCACACUGCAGGAAACUGUGAUGAGGGAACUCCAAGUGACUGCACAUUGUGUAGCCUUUUCUUUACUAUUAAUCGGUAUUGGAAUAAGGGCUGGGAAAGACCGGUGCCAGCCGCCGCGGUAAUACCGGCAGCUCGAGUGGUCGUCGCUUUUAUUGGGCCUAAAACGUCCGUAGCCUGUUUGGUAAAUCUGUGGGUAAAUCAACCAGCUUAACUGGUUGAAUUCUGCAGAGACUGCCAGACUAGGGACCGGGAGAGGUGUGGGGUACUCUAGGGGUAGGGGUAAAAUCCUGUCAUCCUUAGAGGACCACCAGUUGCGAAGGCGCCACACUGGAACGGAUCCGACGGUCAGGGACGAAGCCUAGGGGCACGAACCGGAUUAGAUACCCGGGUAGUCCUAGGUGUAAACGCUGUGAACUUGGUGUCGGGAGUCCGCAAUGGGCCCCCGGUGCCGGAGUGAAGAUGUUAAGUUCACUGCCUGGGGAGUACGGUCGCAAGGCUGAAACUUAAAGGAAUUGGCGGGGGAGCACUGCAACGGGAGGAGCGUGCGGUUUAAUUGGAUUCAACGCCGGAAAACUCACCAGGGCCGACUGUUAUAUGAAGACCAGCGUAAUGAGCUUGUCGGAUUUUCAGAGAGGUGGUGCAUGGCCGUCGUCAGUUCGUACUGUAAAGCGUUCUGUUAAGUCAGAUAACGAACGAGACCCUCAUCUCUAUUUGCUACC